ACCGCAUACGACCUAUGGGUGAAAGCGGGGGAUUCGCAAGAACCUCGCGCUAUCGGAGCGGCCGAUGUCUGAUUAGCUAGUUGGCGGGGUAAAAGCCCACCAAGGCUUCGAUCAGUAGCUGGUCUGAGAGGACGACCAGCCACACUGGGACUGAGACACGGCCCAGACUCCUACGGGAGGCAGCAGUGGGGAAUUUUGGACAAUGGGCGCAAGCCUGAUCCAGCCAUGCCGCGUGCGGGAAGAAGGCCUUCGGGUUGUAAACCGCUUUUGGCAGGAACGAAACGGCGCGAGCGAAUAUCUCGCGUUAAUGACGGUACCUGCAGAAUAAGCACCGGCUAACUACGUGCCAGCAGCCGCGGUAAUACGU
rnacentral:rRNA from 1 species